rnacentral:rRNA from 2 species
AGGUGCGAUAAUAUCAGCGUUAAUGUACUGAAUUCCAUUAAAACUUCACGGUUAAGUGUAUUUGAGCGUGAGUAGUACUAGAAUGCGUGACCUCCUAAAAAGUCCUUGUGUUGCACAUC